rnacentral:rRNA from 1 species
GAUGAACGCUGGCGGCGUGCCUAAUACAUGCGAGUCGAGCGAACAGACGAGGAGCUUGCUCCUUUGACGUUAGCGGCGGACGGGUGAGUAACACGUGGGUAACCUACCUAUAAGACUGGGAUAACUUCGGGAAACCGGAGCUAAUACCGGAUAAUAUUUCGAACCGCAUGGUUCGAUAGUGAAAGAUGGCUUUGCUAUCACUUAUAGAUGGACCCGCGCCGUAUUAGCUAGUUGGUAAGGUAACGGCUUACCAAGGCAACGAUACGUAGCCGACCUGAGAGGGUGAUCGGCCACACUGGAACUGAGACACGGUCCAGACUCCUACGGGAGGCAGCAGUAGGGAAUCUUCCGCAAUGGGCGAAAGCCUGACGGAGCAACGCCGCGUGAGUGAUGAAGGUCUUCGGAUCGUAAAACUCUGUUAUUAGGGAAGAACAAACGUGUAAGUAACUGUGCACGUCUUGACGGUACCUAAUCAGAAAGCCACGGCUAACUACGUG